rnacentral:sRNA from 1 species
AUAGAUAGCGUUUUUGGCAUUCAGCUUUCUAGGAAUCUGACCAAAGAAAACACAAAAUAUGAAGAAGCUACAUCUUAAUUUUUAUUUAUGGUUCUGAAAACUUGGAAAGUAUAUAUAUAACAGGAAGAGUAUGGGUCAGUGAGAUGCACCUUGUUCCCUAAAUAGAAUAUGAUAAAUGCAUUUUAAAUGGUUAUAAAGACUGGCAAUAUGGAAAAGUUGAAUGAGGAGAGAAGGAGCAUUUGUUUAAAUUAUAGUAUAACUAGAACUAAUCAAAAUUGCUCAGGAAGAAAGUCUAAAAGAAUAUAUGUCAAAUGCUAAAUGUCUAUUGGAUGUUUUUAAUAAUUUCUAUAAUGUGAUUAUUACUUUAUAACAAAACUAGCCUUUAAAACUCUGUCUUCCUUUUUCCUCCCCUAGUCAAGCCUUCGCAUUUCUCCACCUCUGCCCUUCCUGUCUCUGUCAGGGGGUGGUCCCAGAGACCCUUUAAAGAUGGGGGUAGGGUCUCGGAUGGACCAAGAGCAAGCUGCUCUUGCUGCAGUCACUCCCUCCCCAACCAGUGCUUCAAAGAGAUGGCCAGGAGCUUCUGUGUGGCCAUCCUGGGACCUCCUCGAAACUCCCAAAGACCCCUUCAGCAUAGAGAGAGAGGCCAGGCUGCACCGACAAGCUGCAGCUGUGAAUGAAGCCACCUGUACCUGGAGUGGCCAGCUUCCUCCCCGGAACUAUAAGAACCCCAUCUACUCUUGCAAGGUGUUUCUAGGAGGUGUUCCUUGGGAUAUUACAGAAGCUGGAUUAGUUAACACCUUCCGUGUUUUUGGCUCUUUGAGUGUGGAGUGGCCUGGUAAGGAUGGCAAGCAUCCCCGGUGUCCUCCCAAAGGGUAUGUGUAUCUGGUCUUCGAACUAGAGAAGUCUGUCCGAUCCUUGCUUCAGGCUUGCUCUCAUGACCCGCUGAGCCCAGAUGGCCUGAGUGAAUAUUAUUUCAAGAUGUCCAGCCGAAGGAUGCGCUGCAAGGAGGUGCAGGUGAUCCCCUGGGUAUUAGCCGACAGUAACUUUGUCCGGAGCCCAUCUCAGAGGCUUGACCCCAGCAGGACGGUGUUUGUCGGUGCUCUGCAUGGAAUGCUAAAUGCUGAGGCCCUGGCAGCCAUCUUGAACGACCUAUUUGGUGGAGUGGUGUAUGCCGGGAUUGACACAGAUAAGCACAAGUAUCCCAUUGGUUCUGGUCGUGUGACUUUCAAUAACCAACGGAGUUACCUGAAAGCAGUCAGCGCUGCUUUUGUGGAGAUCAAAACCACCAAGUUCACAAAGAAGGUUCAGAUUGACCCCUACCUAGAAGAUUCUCUGUGUCAUAUCUGCAGUUCUCAGCCUGGUCCUUUCUUCUGUCGAGAUCAGGUCUGCUUCAAAUACUUCUGCCGGAGCUGCUGGCACUGGCGGCACAGCAUGGAGGGCCUGCGCCACCACAGCCCCCUGAUGCGGAACCAGAAGAACCGAGAUUCCAGCUAGAGGAGCUGGCCUUGCCCAGUGGCCUGUGGCGCCCAAAGCUGGCAGGUCAGGCAAACAGCCUGCACCACCCUGCCACUGGCGACCAGGGAGCUGGCUUCCCAAGGACAAGGGAAAAUUGUAGUCACCUUUGCACUUGCUGAAUCUGUCUUUGUUUCUGCACUAAUUAAUGCACAUUGAGUUUUGUCAGGUUUUGUUUUCAGGGGGUAUACCAAGGGCAAGGACCCUCUGGCUUACCCUCCAAGCGACUCUGUAGUUUUCCCAGAUUUUAGUUCCUCAUUUUGCAGAUGAAAAGCGGGAAAAAAAAAAAAAAAGAAAAAAAGAACUACGUGUCCAGAAGGUAUUGAGGUAUUGACACGGAUGCCUACACCUAGGUUUAUUUAUUAAAAGCGCUUUUUUACAUUCCUUGCAAUACUGAUGGUGAUGAUGCGCAGGUCUCAUUGGUUUCAUUCUUGCAGUUGCCAUACAGUGCCUUUCCAUUUAUUUAACCCCCACCUGAACGGCAUAAACUGAGUGUUCAGCUGGUGUUUUUUACUGUAAACAAUAAGGAGACUUUGCUCUUCAUUUAAACCAAAAUCAUAUUUCAUAUUUUACGCUCGAGGGUUUUUACCGGUUCCUUUUUACACUCCUUAAAACAGUUUUUAAGUCGUUUGGAACAAGAUAUUUUUUCUUUCCUGGCAGCUUUUAACAUUAUAGCAAAUUUGUGUCUGGGGGACUGCUGGUCACUGUUUCUCACAGUUGCAAAUCAAGGCAUUUGCAACCAAGAAAAAAAAAUAUUUUUGUUUUAUUUGAAACUGGACCGGAUAAACGGUGUUUGAGCGGCUGCUGUAUAUAGUUUUAAAUGGUUUAUUGCACCUCCUUAAGUUGCACUUAUGUGGGGGGGGUGGGGUUGAUAGAAGUUUUUAAUCACAAAGUCACAGGACUUUUUUCUUUUGUAACUGAGCUAAAAAGGGCUGCUUUUCGGUGGGGGCAGAUGAAGGCUCACAGGAGCCCUUUCUCUUAGAGGGGGCAAGUACCCUUCCCUUGUAUCUUUAAUUUGAGGAAUGUAUGAGAUAACAGUUGCAGUUGACUGAAAUGCCACUGGAAUUUGAAAACUUGACUUUUUUUUCUUUCCCUUUUUUUUUUUUUUUAAAAAAAGAAAAAAGAAAAAACCCACAAAAACUACUUGCCCCUCCUAGGGAAGCUGUGUGCCAAAGAACCAGUGUCAUAACCCCUCCCUCCUGCUGAGCUGACGUUGCAUUGUUGCAUAUCCCAGCUACUCUGUGGGUUUUGUGAAGCUGUGUGUGAAGUCUCUACCUCAUUGUAGUAUAUGCAGGCAAGACUGCACUCUCCUACAGAUGUGUGGAGUAAGCUGUGGUGUAGUUUUUUUGGCACAUAAUAAACACGUUGCAGCAGA